GCUCUAACAUUUGUUGCUUCGAAGAUAUCUCGGAUGUUACUUUUGAUGCGUGAUCUAAAAACUUAUUGGUCCUGGAAUAAUUUGAACUACCAAUUUCGAAAAUAUCUGAAUCUUUUAGAUCACGCCACAUAAAAAAAUCACAAUAAUUUUCUGAGAUCUUUCCAUAGUUCGGACAUCCAAAAAAUUCUUUUCCUUUGCUCUUAGGUUGUUGUGAAACUCGAAUAACAGCAGCUUUAUUACAAUUGCAACGAACAACUCCACUUGCAUGACAGUUUUUUCUGGACCAGCCCAUCGCAUAGAGCACCUACUCUGUGCUAUUAAUUUAUCUGAUAACCUGCAUGCACAUUGAUUAUAAUAUUAGUACAUUAAACUAAAAAAAACUACUCAUGUU
rnacentral:lncRNA from 1 species